rnacentral:rRNA from 1 species
GGUUAAGCGACUAAGCGUACACGGUGGAUGCCCUGGCAGUCAGAGGCGAUGAAGGACGUGCUAAUCUGCGAUAAGCGUCGGUAAGGUGAUAUGAACCGUUAUAACCGGCGAUUUCCGAAUGGGGAAACCCAGUGUGAUUCGUCACACUAUCAUUAACUGAAUCCAUAGGUUAAUGAGGCGAACCGGGGGAACUGAAACAUCUAAGUACCCCGAGGAAAAGAAAUCAACCGAGAUUCCCCCAGUAGCGGCGAGCGAACGGGGAGGAGCCCAGAGCCUGAAUCAGUGUGUGUGUUAGUGGAAGCGUCUGGAAAGGCGCGCGAUACAGGGUGACAGCCCCGUACACAAAAAUGCACAUACUGUGAGCUCGAUGAGUAGGGCGGGACACGUGGUAUCCUGUCUGAAUAUGGGGGGACCAUCCUCCAAGGCUAAAUACUCCUGACUGACCGAUAGUGAACCAGUACCGUGAGGGAAAGGCGAAAAGAACCCCGGCGAGGGGAGUGAAAAAGAACCUGAAACCGUGUACGUACAAGCAGUGGGAGCACAGAGCAAUCUGUGUGACUGCGUACCUUUUGUAUAAUGGGUCAGCGACUUAUAUUCUGUAGCAAGGUUAACCGAAUAGGGGAGCCGAAGGGAAACCGAGUCUUAACCGGGCGUUAAGUUGCAGGGUAUAGACCCGAAACCCGGUGAUCUAGCCAUGGGCAGGUUGAAGGUUGGGUAACACUAACUGGAGGACCGAACCGACUAAUGUUGAAAAAUUAGCGGAUGACUUGUGGCUGGGGGUGAAAGGCCAAUCAAACCGGGAGAUAGCUGGUUCUCCCCGAAAGCUAUUUAGGUAGCGCCUCGUGAAUUCAUCUCCGGGGGUAGAGCACUGUUUCGGCAAGGGGGUCAUCCCGACUUACCAACCCGAUGCAAACUGCGAAUACCGGAGAAUGUUAUCACGGGAGACACACGGCGGGUGCUAACGUCCGUCGUGAAGAGGGAAACAACCCAGACCGCCAGCUAAGGUCCCAAAGUCAUGGUUAAGUGGGAAACGAUGUGGGAAGGCCCAGACAGCCAGGAUGUUGGCUUAGAAGCAGCCAUCAUUUAAAGAAAGCGUAAUAGCUCACUGGUCGAGUCGGCCUGCGCGGAAGAUGUAACGGGGCUAAACCAUGCACCGAAGCUGCGGCAGCGACACUGUGUGUUGUUGGGUAGGGGAGCGUUCUGUAAGCCUGUGAAGGUGUGCUGUGAGGCAUGCUGGAGGUAUCAGAAGUGCGAAUGCUGACAUAAGUAACGAUAAAGCGGGUGAAAAGCCCGCUCGCCGGAAGACCAAGGGUUCCUGUCCAACGUUAAUCGGGGCAGGGUGAGUCGACCCCUAAGGCGAGGCCGAAAGGCGUAGUCGAUGGGAAACAGGUUAAUAUUCCUGUACUUGGUGUUACUGCGAAGGGGGGGACGGAGAAGGCUAUGUUGGCCGGGCGACGGUUGUCCCGGUUUAAGCGUGUAGGCUGGUUUUCCAGGCAAAUCCGGAAAAUCAAGGCUGAGGCGUGAUGACGAGGCACUACGGUGCUGAAGCAACAAAUGCCCUGCUUCCAGGAAAAGCCUCUAAGCAUCAGGUAACAUCAAAUCGUACCCCAAACCGACACAGGUGGUCAGGUAGAGAAUACCAAGGCGCUUGAGAGAACUCGGGUGAAGGAACUAGGCAAAAUGGUGCCGUAACUUCGGGAGAAGGCACGCUGAUAUGUAGGUGAAGUCCCUCGCGGAUGGAGCUGAAAUCAGUCGAAGAUACCAGCUGGCUGCAACUGUUUAUUAAAAACACAGCACUGUGCAAACACGAAAGUGGACGUAUACGGUGUGACGCCUGCCCGGUGCCGGAAGGUUAAUUGAUGGGGUCAGCGCAAGCGAAGCUCUUGAUCGAAGCCCCGGUAAACGGCGGCCGUAACUAUAACGGUCCUAAGGUAGCGAAAUUCCUUGUCGGGUAAGUUCCGACCUGCACGAAUGGCGUAAUGAUGGCCAGGCUGUCUCCACCCGAGACUCAGUGAAAUUGAACUCGCUGUGAAGAUGCAGUGUACCCGCGGCAAGACGGAAAGACCCCGUGAACCUUUACUAUAGCUUGACACUGAACAUUGAGCCUUGAUGUGUAGGAUAGGUGGGAGGCUUUGAAGUGUGGACGCCAGUCUGCAUGGAGCCGACCUUGAAAUACCACCCUUUAAUGUUUGAUGUUCUAACGUGGACCCGUGAUCCGGGUUGCGGACAGUGUCUGGUGGGUAGUUUGACUGGGGCGGUCUCCUCCUAAAGAGUAACGGAGGAGCACGAAGGUUGGCUAAUCCUGGUCGGACAUCAGGAGGUUAGUGCAAUGGCAUAAGCCAGCUUGACUGCGAGCGUGACGGCGCGAGCAGGUGCGAAAGCAGGUCAUAGUGAUCCGGUGGUUCUGAAUGGAAGGGCCAUCGCUCAACGGAUAAAAGGUACUCCGGGGAUAACAGGCUGAUACCGCCCAAGAGUUCAUAUCGACGGCGGUGUUUGGCACCUCGAUGUCGGCUCAUCACAUCCUGGGGCUGAAGUAGGUCCCAAGGGUAUGGCUGUUCGCCAUUUAAAGUGGUACGCGAGCUGGGUUUAGAACGUCGUGAGACAGUUCGGUCCCUAUCUGCCGUGGGCGCUGGAGAACUGAGGGGGGCUGCUCCUAGUACGAGAGGACCGGAGUGGACGCAUCACUGGUGUUCGGGUUGUCAUGCCAAUGGCACUGCCCGGUAGCUAAAUGCGGAAGAGAUAAGUGCUGAAAGCAUCUAAGCACGAAACUUGCCCCGAGAUGAGUUCUCCCUGACCCUUUAAGGGUCCUGAAGGAACGUUGAAGACGACGACGUUGAUAGGCCGGGUGUGUAAGCGCAGCGAUGCGUUGAGCUAACCGGUACUAAUGAACCGUGAGGCUUAACCUU